rnacentral:rRNA from 1 species
UCAAGAAACUUCCACAAUGGGCGAAAGCCUGAUGGAGCGACGUCGCGUGAUGGACGAAGUGCUUCGGCACGUAAACAUCUUUUAUGUGGGAUGAAAUUAUUGACAGUACCACAUGAAUAAGGGGCUCCUAACUCUGUGCCAGCAGGAGCGGUAAUACAGAGGCCCCAAGCGUUAUCCGGAAUCACUGGGCGUAAAGGGUGUCGAGGCGGUUGUAUUAGUCGUUCGUAAAAUCUACGAGCUUAACUUGUAGGCGGCGAACGAAACGGUACGACUUGAGGUUUGGAGAGGUGCGUGGAACUCACGGUGUAGCGGUGAAAUGCGUAGAUAUCAAGAGGAACACCUGAGGCGAAGGCGGGUUGCUGGGCUGAUACUGACGCUGAGGCGCGAAAGCUAGGGUAGCAAACGGGAUUAGAUACCCCCGUAGUCCCUGAGCGGGCUGGCAAGGCGCAU